rnacentral:rRNA from 1 species
AAUGGGGGAAACCCUGACGCAGCAACGCCGCGUGAGUGAUGUAGGUCUUCGGAUUGUAAAACUCUGUCUUUGGGGACGAUAAUGACGGUACCUGAGGAGGAGGCCACGGCUAACUACGUGCCAGCAGCCGCGGUAAUACGUAGGUGGCAAGCGUUGUCCGGAUUUACUGGGCGUAAAGAGUAUGUAGGCGGAUAUUUAAGUCAGAUGUGAAAUUCCCGGGCUUAACCUGGGAGCUGCAUUUGAUACUGGGUAUCUAGAGUGCGGGAGAGGAAAGUGGAAUUCCUAGUGUAGCGGUGAAAUGCGUAGAUAUUAGGAGGAACACCAGUGGCGAAGGCGGCUUUCUGGACGAUAACUGACGCUGAGGCGCGAAAGCGUGGGGAGCAAA